rnacentral:rRNA from 3 species
GAGUUUGAUCGUGGCUCAGAUUGAACGCUGGCGGCAUGCCUUACACAUGCAAGUCGAACGGCAGCACGGGAGCUUGCUCCUGGUGGCGAGUGGCGAACGGGUGAGUAAUGCAUCGGAACGUAUCCUGGAGUGGGGGAUAACGUAGCGAAAGUUACGCUAAUACCGCAUAUUCUGUGAGCAGGAAAGCGGGGGACCUUCGGGCCUCGCGCUCUUGGAGCGGCCGAUGUCGGAUUAGCUAGUUGGUGAGGUAAAGGCUCACCAAGGCGACGAUCCGUAGCAGGUCUGAGAGGAUGAUCUGCCACACUGGAACUGAGACACGGUCCAGACUCCUACGGGAGGCAGCAGUGGGGAAUUUUGGACAAUGGGGGCAACCCUGAUCCAGCCAUGCCGCGUGAGUGAAGAAGGCCUCGGUUGU